rnacentral:rRNA from 1 species
UACGGAGGAUGCAAGCGUUAUCCGGAAUGAUUGGGCGUAAAGCGUCCGCAGGUGGCUAUGUAAGUCUGCUGUUAAAGAGUGAGGCUCAACCUCAUAAAAGCAGUGGAAACUACAUGGCUAGAGUGCGUUCGGGGCAGAGGGAAUUCCUGGUGUAGCGGUGAAAUGCGUAGAGAUCAGGAAGAACACCGGUGGCGAAAGCGCUCUGCUGGGCCGCAACUGACACUCAUGGACGAAAGCUAGGGGAGCGAAUGGG